rnacentral:rRNA from 1 species
AUAGAUCCUGAAACCGUAUGCUUACAAAAAGUAGGAGCCCGAAAGGGUGACUGCGUACCUUUUGUAUAAUGGGUCAGCGACUUACAUUCAGUGGCAAGGUUAACCGAAUAGGGAAGCCGUAGAGAAAUCGAGUCCGAAUAGGGCGAAUUAGUCGCUGGGUGUAGACCCGAAACCAAGUGAUCUAUCCAUGGGCAGGAUGAAGGUGCCGUAACAGGUACUGGAGGUCCGAACCGACUAAUGUUGCAAAAUUAGCGGAUGACCUGUGGAUAGGGGUGAAAGGCUAAACAAACUUGGAAAUAGCUGGUUCUCUCCGAAAACUAUUUAGGUAGUGCCUCAAGUAUUACCUGCGGGGGUAGAGCACUGUUUUGGCUAGGGGGUCAUGGCGACUUACCAAACCAAUGCAAACUCCGAAUACCGCAGAGUACAGCUUGGGAGACAGAGCACCGGGUGCUAACGUCCGGACUCAAGAGGGAAACAACCCAGACCGCCAGCUAAGGUCCCUAAAAUUGGCUAAGUGGGAAACGAAGUGGGAAGGCUAAAACAGUCAGGAUGUUGGCUUAGAAGCAGCCAUCAUUUAAAGAAAGCGUAAUAGCUCACUGAUCGAGUCGUCCUGCGCGGAAGAUGUAACGGGGCUAAGCCAGUUACCGAAGCUGCGGAUUUGCAAUUUAUUGCAAGUGGUAGGAGAGCGUUCUGUAAGCCUGUGAAGGUGCGUUGUAAAGCGUGCUGGAGGUAUCAGAAGUGCGAAUGCUGACAUGAGUAGCGUUAAAGGGGGUGAAAAGCCCCCUCGCCGUAAGCGCAAGGUUUUCUACGCAACGUUCAUCGGCGUAGAGUGAGUCGGCCCCUAAGGCGAGGCAGAGAUGCGUAGUUGAUGGGAAACAGGUAAAUAUUCCUGUACCGAUGUGUAGUGCGAUGUGGGGACGGAGAAGGUUAGCUCAGCAGACUGUUGGAUAUGUCUGUUCAAGCCUGUAGUCGUGCCUGGUAGGUAAAUCCGCCGGGCUUAGAUGAGGGGUGAUAACGAGGAUGCUUGCAUCCGAAGUGAGUGAUACCCUGCUUCCAGGAAAAGCCACUAAGCUUCAGCUACACACGACCGUACCGCAAACCGACACUGGUGCGCGAGAUGAGUAUUCUAAGGCGCUUGAGAGAACUCAGGAGAAGGAACUCGGCAAAUUGACACCGUAACUUCGGAAGAAGGUGUGCCUUUAGUAUGUGAACCUGUACAAGGGGAGCAGAAUGAGGCCUCAGAGAAUCGGUGGCUGCGACUGUUUAAUAAAAACACAGCACUCUGCAAACACGAAAGUGGACGUAUAGGGUGUGACGCCUGCCCGGUGCUGGAAGAUUAAAUGAUGGGGUGCAAGCUCUUGAUUGAAGUCCCAGUAAACGGCGGCCGUAACUAUAACGGUCCUAAGGUAGCGAAAUUCCUUGUCGGGUAAGUUCCGACCUGCACGAAUGGCGUAACGAUGGCCACACUGUCUCCUCCUGAGACUCAGCGAAGUUGAAAUGUUUGUGAUGAUGCAAUCUCCCCGCGGAAAGACGGAAAGACCCCAUGAACCUUUACUGUAGCUUUGUAUUGGAUUUUGAACGGAUCUGUGUAGGAUAGGUGGGAGGCUUUGAAGCCGGGACGCUAGUCUCGGUGGAGCCAACGUUGAAAUACCACCCUGGUGCGUUUGAGGUUCUAACCUAGGUCCAUUAUCUGGAUCGGGGACAGUGCAUGGUAGGCAGUUUGACUGGGGCGGUCUCCUCCCAAAGCGUAACGGAGGAGUUCGAAGGUACGCUAGUUACGGUCGGACAUCGUGAUGAUAGUGCAAUGGCAUAAGCGUGCUUAACUGCGAGACUGACAAGUCGAGCAGAUACGAAAGUAGGACAUAGUGAUCCGGUGGUUCUGUAUGGAAGGGCCAUCGCUCAACGGAUAAAAGGUACUCUGGGGAUAACAGGCUGAUACCGCCCAAGAGUUCAUAUCGACGGCGGUGUUUGGCACCUCGAUGUCGGCUCAUCUCAUCCUGGGGCUGUAGCCGGUCCCAAGGGUAUGGCUGUUCGCCAUUUAAAGAGGUACGUGAGCUGGGUUUAAAACGUCGUGAGACAGUUUGGUCCCUAUCUUCCGUGGGCGCUG